rnacentral:lncRNA from 1 species
AGAACUCACAAGCUAUGAGUGACAUCUAACCAUAUGUCAUAGCUACCCAAGCUAAUGUAGAAGUUGUUCGGAGCACCCAUUCAGUUGGAAUUACAAUGUAAUUCGAUCUUUCUCUAAAACAAUACUCUCAAUCACAUUAUUAGGGUAUGGAUAUAUUAUGUUAAACCUCUAAUGUGAUUAUUCCUUCUUAUAUGAUUCUAUUGAGUCGUAUAGGAACGCUUUCCUUUAUUACACUCGAUACUUUGGCCGAAGAUUCCCGAAUCAUAUCUUAGAGUAUUCUUCCUCUCUAAUCGAGGAUUAGACAUUCCUUGUUGCGCAUUCACUUGCCUUCAUGACUAAGUGGCUUAACCCC